UGGAGAGGCGCAGAGCAGGGCAGGUGGCACCAACAGUGGGUCCCUCAGGCCUCGAGCGCAAGCAUUCCAGCAGCCACCCAGACCAUGCUCCGCCGACUGGGCGCCCAAGCUGCAGUCGCCCUCUGUGUGCAGGCAGCAGCUGCCUGGCAACCCCCGAGCUCGCUCGCGCUGUCAGCAUCGCAGAACUAGGGCCAGGUGUCCCAGUGGCUGCGGCCAAGCCAGGCAUUCUGACCGGCGGCGGCGGCUGCACAGGAGCGAGAACUGAGAAGCCGCCGCUCAACCCCACACGGGGUGACUGCUGAGGGCCCAUACCAACGGCCCCGAUCUCCCUCAGGUGGAGGACUGGGCGGGAGGCACAGCCUGGGGGCCCUCAGGCUGGGCGCGCUGGCGAUCCCGAGGCCGACCAGGCCAUGCACCUCCAGCCCGCCUGGGCACCCAAGCUGCAGCCGCCUUCUGUGUGCAGGCAGCAACCUCCAGGCAACUCCCGAGUCCGCCCUCACUUCCCACAUCUCGGAACGAGGGCCAGAUGUCCGUGUGGCUGCGGCCAAGCCAGGCGGUCUGCCCUGCAGCAGCUGCACGGGGGCGGGAACCGGCCCUCAGCCCUAUCCCCCGUGGCUGCAGAGGG
rnacentral:lncRNA from 10 species